rnacentral:rRNA from 1 species
UACGAAGGGGGCUAGCGUUGCUCGGAAUCACUAGGCGUAAAGGGUGCGUAGGCGGGUCUUUUAAGUCAGGGGUGAAAUCCUGGAGCUCAACUCCAGAACUGCCUUUGAUACUGAGGAUCUUGAGUUCGGGAGAGGUGAGUGGAACUGCGAGUGUAGAGGUGAAAUUCGUAGAUAUUCGCAAGAACACCAGUGGCGAAGGCGGCUCACUGGCCCGAUACUGACGCUGAGGCACGAAAGCGUGGGGAGCAAACAGGG